CUCCGUGUGCAGAUUUCACGGGGCGUAAGGCCUUCUGAACAUACCUUCUGGAAGGCAGCUGAAGGUCCUGUCACUUUCCAGCAUUUGUGCUUUUGCUCAGAGAUACUACAGAGCAGUCAAGAAUUUCCUUCAAGACAGCCGCUGAGCCAAUUUGUCCUCUUUGUCUGGUGCUGAAAAUGUUGUUAUAUCUAGUCUGUACUGCCCUGGUUUGGUAGUACAUUUUUGACUUCUGAACUAGAUUUUUCAGUCUGCAGUCUAAUCACUUUAGCAGAGUUUAUUUUCUGAAACUGGCAUCUUUAUGCCUCUUUUGGGCAGCAGAUUUUUUCACUUCCUAGAGUCUGAAACUGCUCUCAGAGCUUCCUUCAAGUGUCCCUGGCAGUGAAAGCAUAAGGAUUAAUUUAUGAAUUUUUGACUAAUAUUAAAUACUCAACUUUAUAGGAAAUAUUUCAAGUAUGUGAAAAUACUUCUCUCUGACAGACUAUAUGAAAAAUAUUUAUAUCCUUUUCCUAACCUUUGUGUACUUGUCAGUUUGCCACAUGAUCACCUAAGGACUGGCCAUUUGUGAAUUUCUGGAAAGACUCUAACAUGUCACAGUUGUUGCUGAAAACAAAUCACCGUAUAGCAUUUAUAGUGCUGCUUUAUUUUUUAAAUAAUAUGUUAGUCUCAUAUUAAAAUUAUUCAAUCAUUAUUACAGUAAUCUAGAUAAUCUAUUAUUGUCUUUUUGUUAGCUUUAUAUGUAGUGUAUUUUUUAUAUACAUGUAUGCAUGUUUAUGUGUGUGUGCGCAAAUGUGUAUUUUUAUCUUUAUAUCUGUAUAAGUAAUACAAUUAUAUUUACCAUCUCUCCUUAUGAUAAAACUCAAAGUGCAUUACAAACUAUAGAUCCUCUCCUUUUCUGCUGAAAUCACUGCCUCACUAAAAUGUUUAACAACUAAAUUGUUUAACAGUGUUUAUAGAAGUGGAGUAAGUCAGAGAAAACAGUUUUGAGAACACCACAACAUUAUACUUACAACACUGUCAGAUAACACAUAUCUUUUAUACAGCAUGUGAAUGCAUAUGCACUUCACAUCUUACUGCAAUGCAAAUCAUUUGGCAAUACUACGUCUGUGGAGCAGAUAUGUCCAAGGAAGUUCUCGGAGAUUCUUCUUUCCUUUGGGACAACAUUAUUUAUGAUCUAUGGUUCAUGUACAUUUACUUCCAAGAUUCUGCUUUAUAAUUCCUUCAGAGGUUGUUCUUAGUGCUUCUGUCAGAUAUUGACAUCAAUUCUGUGCAUACUGGGGAGGCAAGAAAUUGGAACUGCAAUCUGCUGUUGUCCCUGAAAGGAGAAUUUUGCCUCAAGAGAAGAACUUGUCAGUGCCAGUGAAGGAGAACAGUUGGAGCCAUGAGUAUUUUACUACAUGAAGAUGACAAAAGCCAACUUUCCAUUAGUGAAUCAAGUAUCCUAAAAUAUCAGAAGCUUUUCAUCUCCAUCAUUGUAACAACAUAGGUGACCAAGUAACCAUCCAUAGAUGGGACUUCGUGACAGCUUUGCAGAGUUCAUUUCUGCACUUCUAGACUUCCCAGAAAGCCCAGAAGGGAAUAACUCUGAAAUGAGCCAGUGAACCUCCUGUGUCAGACUAUGAAUUGUUCUGAAUAUAUAUCCUGGUCUAAAUGACAUGUGGCAUCGCAGAAGCAGCUUUUUCACAAUUAAGCAAAGCUGCCAGAACACGGAAUGGUAACUAUAGCUCCAAACACGUACAGCAGGGCAUUGGCCCCUGCCUGUCUCAUGAACAGUCCUCCCUGUGGCCAUGAUGAAGUCAGCCUUUGCACUGUGAUUGUGGGCUGUUGGUCUUGAAUCCAUAAUAUUUUGUCUGCAACAUUCUUAAUUUUGAGCAAGAUUCUUAAUUAUUGCCAGCUAUAAGGUUGGACUUUUGCUGCUUUGACUGCCCAUUCAGUUUAGCCAAAAAAAGUUAUCAGAUGUUAAAAGCCUCUCCUGGGGUAAAUUCUUCACCAGCGGUCAUAACAGAAAAGGAAUAUUUCCAGGAACUAACGACAUUACAAUCUCACAGGCAAUUCAUUUUCCUCAUGAAUGUGGAAAAGACAAAAGCAAUGGGAAUGGAGAGAAAGGACGAUAAAGUCAAGAGACAGACUCUUCAUCUACCAAGUUGUGAAAUUGGGCAGGUUUUUCUGAGAGAAGGUGAAAUCAAGAUUAUUUGUGUAUAUAGUGUCCAUACAUGUACUCCUCCUACCCAUCCACUGUUGUCUGCAUGAAUUAAAGUCUGAGGAAUGAAAGAAAUGCUUCAAAUCUCCCUGACGAUGUCUUAAUAAUUGCCGGAAGUGUGAUAAGUUCCUUUGUCUUUCAGGAAAUGACUCAGGACUGGAGCUAGUUUUAAUAUUUGGAUAGAUCUUUUGGUCAAAUAAGGCUAAGUGACCUAUUCCUUCACCCUAUUGUUCCACUCUCUUAUGGGCAAUUACCACAGAAGAUUACAACAUGGCUACAAUUACUGUUAGCUGCUUAGUUAAAUGGAGUUAAUUUAAAAUAAAGACAGUGCUUAUGUCCAAAAAAUUAAAGAAAAAGGAAUG